rnacentral:rRNA from 1 species
AGUCUGGUGCCAGCAGCCGCGGUAAUUCCAGCUCCACUAGCGUAUGUUAAAAUUGUUGCGGUUAAAACGUUCGAAGUUGAUUAUUGUCCAGUGCGGGUGUGACAUCAUCAAGAAAUGAUUGUCAUCACUUUCCGGUUACUUGGACUAUUUGACUGAACACUAAAUGAAUAGCAUUGAUGUCUUUCACUGGACUAGAUGUCUAUUUAGUUCGGCUUACUUUUACCUUGAACAAAUUAAAGUGCUCAAAGCAGGCUUCAUAAGCUUGAAUAGUUUUGCAUGGAAUAAUGGAAAAAGACCUCGGUCUUAUUUGUUGCGCGGGUUCGCUCGCGUAAUGAUUUUCUAUUGGUUUGAUACAGAUCAAGAGGUAAUGAUUAAUAGAAGCAGUUGGGGGCAUUAGUAUCACGGCGCGAGAGGUGAAAUUCUUAGACCGUCGUAAGACUAACUAAAGCGAAAGCAUCUGCCAAGGAUGUUUUCAUUAAUCAAGAACGAAAGUUAGAGGAUCGAAGGCGAUUAGAUACCGCCCUAGUUCUAACUGUAAACGAUGACAGCUAGCGAUUGGGUGUCACUACAUAAUGGUGCACUCAGUAGCUUUCCGGGAAACUGAAGCUAGUUUCCGGGGGAAGUAUGGUUGCAAAGUUGAAACUUAAAGGAAUUGACAGAAGAUUACCUCCAGGAAUGGAAUUUGCGGCUUAAUUUGACCCAACACGGGAAAACUUACCAGGUCCGAACUCAAGUGGGUAUGACAAUUUGAUAGCGUUUUCACGAAUUUGAGGGUAAUGGUGCAUGGCCGUUCUUAGUUCGUGGAUUGAUUUGUCUGGUUAAUUCCGAUAACGAACGAGACUCAAUUAUUUAACUAGAUACCUAUCAGCCGUUGAGAUGCUGAAGUCAUAUGACGUGGUGUGUCGCAAGGCAUUCCAUGACAUUUGAUCGAGUCUCACCUGAUAGUUUGGCUUUCGAUUUCGGUCGAUAAGCUUUAUCUGCUUAAAUAGACAAAUUGCUUUCAGCAAUAUGAAAUUGAGCAAUAACAGGUCCGUGAUGCCCUUAGAUGUUCUGGGCGGCACGCGAGUUACAAUGAAGCUGACAACGUGUUACCUUAUCCGAGAGGAUUGGGAAAUCACUUAGCCAGCUUCCUUAGUUGGGAUUGUGGACUGAAAAAGUUCACAUGAACCAGGAACUCCUAGUAAGUGUGAGUCACUAGCUUGCAUUGAUUACGACCCUGAUCUUUGUACACACCGCCCGUCGCUAUUACCGACGGAUUAUUUAGUGAGAUCUCUGGAGGUAGACAUUGCGAUGCUUCGGUAUUGCGAUUGCUUUUGCCAAAGUUGAUCAAACUUGAUGAUUUGGAGGAAAUAAAAGUC